rnacentral:rRNA from 1 species
GACGUAGGGCGCGAGCGUUGUCCGGAUUUAUUGGGCGUAAAGAGCUCGUAGGCGGUCUGUCGCGUCGGCUGUGAAAACCUGGGGCUCAACUCCGGGCCUGCAGCCGAUACGGGCAGACUAGAAUUCGGUAGGGGAGACUGGAAUUCCUGGUGUAGCGGUGAAAUGCGCAGAUAUCAGGAGGAACACCGGUGGCGAAGGCGGGUCUCUGGGGCCGAUAUUGACGCUGAGGAGCGAAAGCGUGGGGAGCGAACAGG